rnacentral:tRNA from 1 species
GCCGAAAUAGCUCAGCUGGUAGAGCAAUUGAUUCGUAAUCAAUAGGUCGGAGGUUCAAGUCCUCUUUUCGGCACCA